rnacentral:piRNA from 1 species
UACAAAUUCGUGUUUGAGGCUAUUAAUC